rnacentral:rRNA from 1 species
GAUCCUGGCUCAGGAUGAACGCUAGCGACAGGCUUAACACAUGCAAGUCGAGGGGCAGCACGGGGUAGCAAUACCCCCGGUGGCGACCGGCGCACGGGUGAGUAACACGUGUGCAACCAACCCCGUACCGGGAGAUAACCCGCGGAAACGUGGACUAACACCCCAUAACACCUUUCCCCCGCAUGGGGGAGAGUUUAAAAUCACGAUGGUACGGGACGGGCACGCGCGACAUUAGGUAGUUGGCGGGGUAACGGCCCACCAAGCCGACGAUGU